UACACAGAAAGAGUAAUGUUAUACACAUAAAUAUUAACAUUUUGUAGAGCAACAACACAAUAAAAAACCAAAAUAUGAACACCAGCAACUAAAACAGGAACCAUUAAAUGAAUAUUACACACAGCAAUAACAGCAUCAAAUAAUGGAAAUAAUGGACCCUACUGCUCAAAUCAAAAACAAAAUUUCAUCAUUACCACUUUAUUGGUUAUAUCAAUAAAAGAAAUUAUUGAGUUUAUGAGUCUAGAUCCUACAAGCAAGCAGAUCUAUCACAUAAUUUUAAAUGAAGAUUUAUCUAUUAUAGUAAUUUAUUCUAAUAACAAAAAAAAACUUUGGAUCAAAAAAUAUUUUCUUCUGAUGAGGUUUAUGAAUAUUAAAGUCUGUUGAAGUUUGGCCAUUAUGUGUUGGUAUACAAUUUAUUUAUGAUGUUACAGUAG